UUUUUGACAAGGUUAUGAUGAUAUAUAGGUCUUUCCAUGGCUAGAACUAUGAGAUUUCCACAAUGUGCAGUUACAGAUAUGAUUUAUUGCCAAUCAUUUUGUCUUUUAGAUCACUUAAGAAGCUGGUUAGUAGAUGUUUGAUUGGGUUACAAGUAAAAUAUCCUUAUUCCUUUCCCCCUUUUUGCUUUUCCAGGGGGUUUUUGUUUUUGGGUAUUAGGGAUUUUUUUGGGUUGCCCAUGGUUUUGUUUUUGGCUUCAUAUAUGUUAGAACCUAACGCAACUAUACCUACCCUACCCAUAUCCUCGCUUCCUGGUUUGUGGUGGCUUCAUGUAUGUAAAUAUUUGUCAUUUGUAGCUCUAGUGAUAUGCCCUAGUGUUCCCUAGGAUAAGAUGGCUAGAAUCACUAUCGGUGGCUAAUCUCCAACAGUCGCGGUUAUUCGCACCGAUUAUGCUAUUAGGCACUGCUAAUAGUGGGGUUUAUCCAUAUCAUCUUGUGUCACGGAUGUAACGCGCUAUAAUAAUGUUUUCUUAUAGUGAUAUUUGGUGUAAUAUGGCAGUUCACUAAAGUUCGCCGAUGAUUCAGAGGCCAUAUCACUAUAUUCCACUGAACUUCCAAUAUACACAUCUGGAAACGCAUACCUGUAUCAUGUUAGCCAAAUACUGAAUAAAACC
rnacentral:lncRNA from 1 species